rnacentral:pre_miRNA from 11 species
GCUGCCCCCGGCGCUGCCUUCCUCCAGGUCGCUCUGGCAGCCCUCGUCGUUGAGCGAACUCUGCUUGGCCACCUUGGGCGAGAGCAGCUUGGCGAGCUCGGGCAGU